ACGGGUGAGGAACACGUAGGAACCUGCCUUUCAGAGGGGGACAACCAAGGGAAACUUUGGCUAAUACCGCAUAAUCUCGAGAGAGGAAAGUUGCCCGCAAGGGUGACGCUGAAAGAGGGGCCUGCGUCCGAUUAGCUAGUUGGUGAGGUAAAGGCUCACCAAAGCGAUGAUCGGUAACUGGUCUGAGAGGACGACCAGUCACACUGGGACUGAGACACGGCCCAGACUCCUACGGGAGGCAGCAGUGGGGAAUCUUGGACAAUGGGGGCAACCCUGAUCCAGCGAUGCCGCGUGGGUGAAGAAGGCCUUCGGGUUGUAAAGCCCUUUAGGUUGGGAAGAAGUGAUGUAGAGGAAAUGCUACAUUGUUGACGGUACCAACAGAAUAAGCACCGGCAAACUCUGUGCCAGCAGCCGCGGUAAUACAGAGGGUGCGAGCGUUAAUCGGAGUUACUGGGCGUAAAGGGCGCGUAGGCGGUGAGAUGUGUGUGAUGUGAAAGCCCCGGGCUUAACCUGGGAAGAGCAUCGCAAACUAUCUGACUGGAGUAUAAGAGAGGGUGGCGGAAUUUCCGGUGUAGCG
rnacentral:rRNA from 1 species